AUCCUAUGAUGAGGACAGGCGGCCACAUACUUAUGAAGUCAUUCCCAUGCUUCAGAAAUGGACUUGUCCCUCGUCUGCUGGAAACUGGAAAUCCUUCCACGAAGUGC
rfam:Oryza sativa Japonica Group DNA, chromosome 7, cultivar: Nipponbare, complete sequence.